UGAUGACAUCGAUAGAGUGGCUCAUCAUAUGCAAAUCAAUAGCGUUUUUCAUAUAAAUCCAGGCCUCUGUUUAAAAUGUUGUUCUUAUCGCGAUCAGGAAUCUUCCUCGGCAUCUGCAAAUAAAGCAUGGAUUAGUAUCAGAAGGUAUAACAGUCUGAAAACUGGUUCUGAUCUUUCCAAAUUUCCUAUGUUCAAUCUGCACGCUGUAAGUCUUGUGUUCAAUACUUGACACAUUACAGGAUGCAAUAGUCUCAAAAGAUGUAUCUAGCACCAUACUGGUGGAUGCGUUAAGUUCUCUUGGGGUGCUGAGAUCAAUUUUCCAUGCAUAUAAUAGGAGCAUUGCAGAAGUGCGUUUGUGACCACCUUUCACUUUUGUACGGUAGAAUUUAUCAUCAGCGAAAUUACUAUGAUCAUUCAUCACUACACUUUGUUAUUAUUUGGGAAAUACUUUGUCAUUAUUUAUUUAAUUUGAAGCAAUAUCUAAUAAGUUGCUGUUAUUGAACAACGUAGGGCACAUAUGACACUGAAUGGAUCACACACUUGACUUAAAAUGAUUUGAUCUUUGCUGGCGGAAGACAAUCUUGCACAGGCAUUUUGUUCCAUCAGAGAGUUGCAACCUGCAAUGGAACACUGUAAAGCAUCAAUCGAGGUAAAACUCUUGUUGUGCAUAAGUCACUUCAUCCUCAACUUUUUACAUUUGUGUUGAUUGGAUCUAAUUUCUGCGAGGAUAAAAUUCAUAAAUGAGACAUGGAUACCUCACUAGUCACUUGGUGUACUUGUUUAGUACAUAAAUAACUCCAAAUGAUGUUUUAAUGUUGUUUCACAUUCACAAUUGGCAGAUCCAGGAGAAGCUUUAUAAUCCUAAUCACAUUGUCAUUGGAUAUGAACUUGUGAAGCUCUCGUCUAUUCAGUUAUCCUUGAGUAACUGUGCUGCCGUAGACAGCAUAAACCGACCUUGUGAUAUAUUUUUGUGUUAUUAUGGAUCAUAUAUACAAGAUUUCCCGUACUUUCAUUCAAUUCCUU
rnacentral:lncRNA from 1 species